GUCCUUUUGGCAUCUCUUUAAGUCCUGGCCGAAUUGUUUGAUAAAUUGCAAAGUGCCUCGCAAACUUUGGCCCAUACAGUGCCCGCCCAACCUCAGCAACAGUUGAAUGUCCUGUCAGAGGCAGACGAGACGACAAUUUGUUGCUGCUGUUGUUGUUGUUGGGCGGCUCACGCGGUGGGCGGGGGCGUGACCGGCAUAUUUAUUUGUGCAUAUCGAGCUAUUUUCGUUUGCGUGUGUGUAUGUGUGGGCCCAACAACGGGACUUUAGGUGCUGGUCCUAAGCCCGUUUUAUGGCAAGCGUUGAAAGUCACAAAAUUUCGUUCGUUAGUCGCAGGCAGAGCCCAAAUGGAAGGUAAAGUAUGACAGCGAACAGUAUAUUAUAGUAUGUAGAAGCAGCUGUGAUAAAUAGUGCGCAUAUUAUACGAAGCAAGAAGUAUACGACAUACAAAACAAAACAACAAAACAAAACGAAUACAAAAACAACAAAAUAUAAAAACGGAACAACAACAACAAGCAUCUUCAAGCCAAACAAUCUGAGAGGAAGAUUUCGAAGUAAACGAAAAAUAGAAGACCAAGCAGAAGAAGAAGAGGCAGCUGCAAAAGGCCCGAGCAAUGGAUUUAUGACAACAACAAUAACCCACGAGCAGAGCUAAAAGGCAACAGCAACUGCAAACUAUGUUGCCUGGCCCACACAAGCAGCGACUACAACAACUACAACAACAGCAACUAGAAA